GGUCUACUCCGAAUGCCUACAGUGUGUCAGGUUCUUAGACAAAUGCAACACCCCUACCAUCUAUGACAAUGCAGACAGCAGAGAUGAUUCUUUGCUGUGUGUGAAUCCCAUCUCCAGAAAAUCCCCAGGAGGUCCCAAGGCUUCUGUACCUAAAGCUGUAAGUUAGGAUGGAAACAGCCUAUUAUCAACUGAAUGUUUGUGGUCCUCCUCCAAAUUCAGAUUGAAAGUAUAGCCACCACUGCGGUAAUGCUGGGCACGUGAUCUUUGGUCUAUAUAAUUAGAUUGGGUUCAUAAGGGUAAAGCCUUUCUGACAGCUGUCAGGAAGAGGGAGCAGCCAGUCACAAGAGCUGCUGGACCUGUCUUCCCAUCAUCCAACUGUGAGAAAUAGCUGAUCUAGCUACCUCGUCUACAGGACCCUGAAGCAGCAGACCAAGCCAGCGAUAUACAAGAGCUCUGAUUUCUCCACAUCGUCUCUGAACUUACCGCUGCCUGGGGUUUCUGUGAGAGCUGUCCUAAUGAGUGGGGAUUGAUACCUCAUUAGAAUGGAGCUCAACUUUGAAGAUGAAUGAAAAGGAAAACAAAGACACUCAAGUAACUAAGGAGGAAAAAAAAGUGACUUCUUCCCCUAAAAUGAGUUUGAGAAGAAGGAAAGUCUUUUUUCACAGAGAAGGUGUGAGACCGCAUGCCCCAUUCAUACUGAGUGCAAAUGAAUGAAGAAUGAUCUCCCACCCAGACAUUCUGGGUGCAAAUGAAUGAAUGAUACUGGUGCUCUCCCAGUCAACUAAACUCCAUCCAGACACACACACACCAAUACAAAUUCAAAUAAGUUGCCAAAUAAAAUGCAUAUAGCUCUCAAUGUCUAUUGAAUGGA